GCUGUUAGGGGUUACUGGAGACACUGGGAGGCUGUUAGGGGUUACCUGGGAGGCCGUUAGGGGUUACUGGGAGGCUGUUAGGGGUUACUGGGAGGCUGUUAGGGGUUACUGGGAGGCCGUUAGGGGUUACUGGGAGGCUGUUAGGGGUUACUGGGAGGCCGUUAGGGGCUACUUGGGGGCACGGAGAGGUUUCUAGGGGGCGCUGGGGCUUACUGGGAGUCACUGGGAAAUCUGUGCGGUUACUGGGAGCUACUGGGAGGACACCAAGUGCCUGCUGGGGGUCGCUGGAAGCCAGCGGGGGUUACUGGGAGCUACUGGGAAACUCCUGCCGGGGUCACUGGGUGCUUUUUUUUUGGGGGGGGGGGGUCCCCACUUCGCCCCGCCCCCCGGGGCACAUUAGCCAAUGGGAGUGUGGCCGCCCCUCCCCCCCGGCAUUAACCCCGCCCCCAUCGAAGUGCCUUGGGGGGGAGGGGAAAGCCCCGCCCCUCCCCCCCCCGGGGUCACCCCAAUAAACGGUCCAAGGCC